rnacentral:tRNA from 1 species
GUUUUAGUAAUUUAACCAAAAUAUUGGUCUUGUAAACCAGAAAUAAGUAUAACUUCUAAAACU